rnacentral:rRNA from 1 species
GCCCCGCCUGGGGAGUACGGUCGCAAGAUUAAAACUCAGAAUUGACGGGGGCCCGCACAGCGGUGGAGCAUGUGGUUCAAUUCGACGCAACGCGAAGAACCUUACCUGGGCUAGAAUGCGGUAGAUAAGUCCUAGAGAUAGGACGAUCCCUUCGGGGCUCCUGCCUGCAAGGUGCUGCAUGGCUGUCGUAGCUCGUGAGAUGUUGGGUUAAGUCCCGCAACGAGCGCAACCCUUGUCCGCUGUUGCCAUCAGGUUACGCUGGGCACUCUGCGGAGACUGCCGGUGAUAAACCGGAGGAAGGUGGGGAUGACGUCAAGUCAGCAUGGCCUUUAUGUCUGGGGCUACACACGUGCUACAAUGGCCGGUACAAACCGUCGCGAUACCGCAAGGUGGAGCUAAUCGGAGAAAACCGGUCUCAGUUCGGAUUGCAGGCUGCAACUCGCCCAUGAAGGGAUCGCUAGUAAUCGCCGGAUCAGCCAUACGCCGCGGUGAAUACGUACCCGGCCUUGUACACACCGCCA